AUAAAAGCUAUGACAAAGAACAAGUAAGAAAAACAGAAGUUCUUAACAGAAAGUAACCGGUUGAUGAGAGGUGCAAAGAACGGUUUUUCUGAAUUCAUCUUAUGAGCUGCCCUUUGAACAGAUUUUUUAAUCUAAUUAGAAGGCGCCGGGGGCUUCCGUUAAAAAUGUAAAGUAUUUAUAUAAUAUUAAUUUAUAUAGAUACUUAUUGAGGUUAACAGUGCAAACUGUUAAUAAACUUAGGUGGUAACACGGUUAUUAGAUCGUCCUUUGA
rnacentral:ncRNA from 1 species